GGACCCGCACAAGUAGUGGAGCAUGUGGUUUAAUUCGAAGAUACGCGCAGAACCUUACCAACACUUGACAUGUUCGUCGCGACUCUAAGAGAUUAGAGUUUUCGGUUCGGCCGGACGAAACACAGGUGCUGCAUGGCUGUCGUCAGCUCGUGUCGUGAGAUGUUGGGUUAAGUCCCGCAACGAGCGCAACCCUCACUUUUAGUUGCCAUCAUUUAGUUGGGCACUCUGAAAGAACUGCCAGUGAUAAGCUGGAGGAAGGUGGGGAUGACGUCAAGUCCUCAUGGCCCUUACGUGUUGGGCUACACACGUGCUACAAUGGUAUUUACAAUAGGAAGCAAAAUGGCAACAUU
rnacentral:rRNA from 1 species